rnacentral:rRNA from 1 species
AUUGAACUCUGGCGGCAGGCCUAACACAUGCAAGUCGAACGAGUGGCGGACGGGUGAGUAAUGUCUUGGAAACUUCCUGAUGGAGGGGGAUAACUACUGGAAACGUUAGCUAAUACCGCAUACCAUCGGAUGUGCCCAUAUGGGAUUAGCUCGUAGGUGGGGUAACGGCUCACCUAGGCGACGAUCCCUAGCUGGUCUGAGAGGAGGACCAGCCACACUGGAACUGAGACACGGUCCAGACUCCUACGGGAGGCAGCAGUGUGGAAUAUUGCACAAUGGGCGCAAGCCUGAUGCAGCCAUGCCGCGUGUAUGAAGAAGGCCUUCGGGUUGUAAAGUACUUUCAGAGGGGAGGCGUUACCCGCAGAAGAAGCACCGGCUAACUCAGUGCCAGCAGCCGCGGUAAUUC